CCUACGGGAUGCAGCAGUGGGGAAUCUUGCGCAAUGGGCGAAAGCCUGACGCAGCAACGCCGCGUGGGGGAUGAAGGCUCUCGGGUCGUAAACCCCUUUCAGUGGGAACGAUUAUGACGGUACCCACAGAAGAAGGACCGGCCAACUACGUGCCAGCAGCCGCGGUAACACGUAGGGUCCGAGCGUUGUCCGGAUUUAUUGGGCGUAAAGGGCCCGUAGGCGGCUUGAUAAAUCGGGUGUGAAAACUCCGGGCUCAACCCGGAGACGCCACCCGAUACUGUCAUGGCUUGAGUCUGGUAGGGGAGUGCGGAAUUCCUGUGUAGCGGUGAAAUGCAUAGAUAUCAGGAGGAACACCGGUGGCGAAGGCGGCACUCUGGGCCAGUACUGACGCUGAUGGGCGAAAGCGUGGGUAGCAAACAGGAUUAGAUACCCCAGUAGUC
rnacentral:rRNA from 1 species